UACGGGGGGGGGCAAGCGUUUGUUCGGAAUUACUGGGCGUAAAGGGCUCGUAGGCGGCCAACUAAGUCGGACGUGAAAUCCCUCGGCUUAACCGGGGAACUGCGUCCGAUACUGGAUGGCUUGAGUUCGGGAGAGGGAUGCGGAAUUCCAGGUGUAGCGGUGAAAUGCGUAGAUAUCUGGAGGAACACCGGUGGCGAAGGCGGCAUCCUGGACCGACACUGACGCUGAGGUGCGAAAGCGUGGGGAGCAAACAGGG
rnacentral:rRNA from 1 species